rnacentral:pre_miRNA from 1 species
UAAGUACCCCCUCCGUCCCAUAUUAAGUGACUUUCUAUUACAUGUAUCUAAACGCCUUUUAGGCAUGGAUACAUUCAUAUUUGGACAAAUUUGAGUCACUUAAUAUGGGAUGGCGGGAGUACUUU